UGGGGAAUAUUGGACAAUGGGCGAAAGCCUGAUCCAGCCAUGCCGCGUGUGUGAAGAAGGUCUUCGGAUCGUAAAGCACUUUAAGUUGGGAGGAAGGGCAGUAAGCGAAUACCUUGCUGUUUUGACGUUACCGACAGAAUAAGCACCGGCUAACUCUGUGCCAGCAGCCGCGGUAAUACAGAGGGUGCAAGCGUUAAUCGGAAUUACUGGGCGUAAAGCGCGCGUAGGUGGUUCGUUAAGUUGAAUGUGAAAGCCCCGGGCUCAACCUGGGAACUGCAUCCAAAACUGGCGAGCUAGAGUAGGGCAGAGGGUGGUGGAAUUACCUGUGUAGCGGUGAAAUGCAUAGAUAUAGGAAGGAACACCAGUGGCGAAGGCGACCACCUGGGCUCAUACUGACACUGAGGUGCGAAAGCGUGGGGAGCAAACAGG
rnacentral:rRNA from 1 species